GAGAGAGAGAGAGAGAGAGAGAGAGAGAGGGAGAAAGAGAAAGAAACAUCGAUAUUAGAGAGAAAUGUGAAUUGGUUGCUUCCUCUUAGUACCCCGAUGGGGAUUGAACCCAAAACCUAGGUAUGUAUUGUACCCUCACCAGGAAUCGAAUCCUUGACCUUUCUCUGUAUUCUAGACUAGACAAUGCUCUAACCAUUUGAGACAUACUGGAAAGGACAAACUGAGUCUUUUUUUAAGCACUGAAAAUCAUUGGUGGGUAAAGUAUCUUAGUUGUCAUCCGUCGGCUCCUCUUCCCCAACCAUUGAACGAAAGAUAUGAAAAACUUACCAUGAUGAUGAUGGACUUGUUAUAAAUUUUAGCUAAAGCAUCUUUAGGAAACAAACUCAUAGUAAAAAUUUGACUAGAGACAGUAUGGUUCUUAGCUCUUUUGGUUGUUCCAAUUGAGUUUUCUGACCUUAGGACAAUAAACCAUGGUUUUUGCAUAUGACUUCUAGGGAUCCUGUCUCCAGGGAUUCCAGGUAAGAAUCCCAAGACUACUUUUGGUAAUGAUUAAACUUCCAAGUUUAUAAAGAUAUUGUUUAAUAUAUUACCUCAUGUUUUUAUUAUUAAAUAUGAGCAUAAUUGAAAA